rnacentral:rRNA from 2 species
GACAAGCAAAUCCCAUAAACCGUGGCUCAGUUCAGAUCGUAGGCUGCAACUCGCCUACGUGAAGGAGGAAUCGCUAGUAAUCGCAGGUCAGCAUACUGCGGUGAAUACGUUCCCGGGCCUUGUACACACCGCCCGUCACACCAUGGAAGUUGGCCACGCCCGAAGCCGUUACUCCAACCCUUGUGGAGGAGGACGUCGAAGGUGGGGCUGAUGACUGGGGUGAAGUCGUAACAAGGUAUCCGUACCGGAAGGUGCGGAUGGAUCACCUCCUAA